rnacentral:lncRNA from 10 species
AGGGAUCAAUUGGGAUUAGAAUUUUAUCCUACUGCUAAAACAUAAAGCAAAAAGGCCAAAAGUGAUCUCACCUUUUCAGAGAAACGCACUUAAAUAGCAGCAGCAGGUGCCUCUCUUUUCUGAGCUUCCCUUCACCUGAAUGUGGUUCUGGUACUUAAAGCCUUACAGUCCCCUCUAAAGCAAUUAUUCUGUUCAAAAGAGGAUUUGUUUGUGAUAUUCCUUUAAGAAUCUUUAUUUAUUCCCCCAACAGUUUCUUUUUCUGCAUCCGCUGCUCUGUUAAGUGAUCACCACAUUCAUUGUUCUCGUUUCUAUUAUUUCUGAAAAAAAUCUUCAGGAUUCUGCUUGUGGGAGUGGAUGACAUUUUUACAGUGUUUACAGGUAAGGUUUUUUACACAAAAUGAACAAGAUGUCUGUGGCAACCCUCAGACCAUUGACGCCUUCUCUCCUAUGUAUCAAAUCACACAUUUGGACGUUGACUGAACCCUCACAUGUCAGAUGCUCAAUAUUGAGGUAAACACAGUUGCCCCAUGAGUAUAGUAAAAGGGAGCAUGAACUUGAGAAAAUACGCUUUCAACACAAAGCUGUAAUAAUAUAAGGUCAAAUAAGAUUCUGCAUUGGAGAUAGAAAACUCUGAAGGAAGG